GUGGCGCCUCGCGAGAGCGAUGGAAUCCCAGGCGAGCCCUCGGACGCCGUGGUGUUUGUCGGGAUCUCUCUCGUUCUCGGAAUCGCUUCAAGGCACGUGCUUCGGGGGGCUAGAGUUCCGUACACCGUCGCUCUUCUCAUCAUCGGCAUUGUCAUGGGAUCUCUAGAUGAGAUUUCUUGCACACAAGGUGUUUGAUAUAAUGCAUUGGUGAGAACAAAUGGUUUUAUUAGAGAGAAUGACUCAAUCUCAGGUGAAAACCCAGAGAUGAUUAGUUGUUCAGAAUAAUAGUUUUGAUUUGUCUUAGUGAGUGCAUUCUGUGGUGAGAGAGGAAUGGACAGUUAAAAUUUUUGAUAAGGGAAUGCUCUAUGAAGGAGUGCCUGAAGAUAGAAUGGUGAAGCUUCUUCAGAUUGCAUUAAAGUGCAUAUACAAAUCUGCCGAUGCUCGACCAACUAUGAGUCAAGUUGCCGAGAUGAUACAUUCAUUGAAGGAAGAAGAUGAUAGAUCUGUUGUGUCUGAAAUUGAUUCAAGAGAUGCUUAAAAUUGGGGAGUUUGUUUUUAUAAUGUCCUGGAAUUUAUGUAUAUGUUCCGUUUGACUAUUAUCAUUUGCUAGUGUAUAUGUGUUGGUCACAUAUGAGGAGGUGGAAAACAUUGUUUAUUUGUUACACUGAUGACAUAGGUGAUAUUAGUCCAAAUGGUG